rnacentral:misc_RNA from 1 species
CUCGUCCAUAAGGUAAGAAAAGGAUGGCAGAUAGUGUUAAAACAUAUGUAUUCUGAAUUGGAAACUAUGUCGAAGCACUAUGGAAGAUAAAGGAGCUCGUUCAAUCCGGUACAAAACAAUGGCAGUUAAGUACGUGGCUGUCAUUAAUUUGGUUAUUUGUUGGCAAUAAUGUGAGAAAUAUUACGACAAUACGCCCACACGUCUAUCGAGUAUUGAUAACACGUUUACGACAGAUUCUUUUUUAUUAAAACCGCAUGUACAAAAAUAGUACACGUAUACAAAAUGAGCAUUCUUCGAAAGAAGUUAAAUGAUUUCGAUGAUGUUCUCAAUGCCGACGAAAUUGAUUUAACGAGUUUACAGCGAAUAUGUUUUCAUGGAAUACCGGAUGAGGGUGGUUUGAGACCAUUAUGUUGGAAACUGUUGCUUAAUUAUUUACCACCGAACAGAGUUAGUUGGUCAGAAACAUUAACGUGCAAGAGGGAACUCUAUAAAACAUUCAUCGAGGAUCUUAUUGUUACUCCUGGGGAGACUAAUGUUGAUGGGGAAAGAGUCGAUGUAACAUUACAUGAUCAUCCUUUAAAUUUGAAUCCGGAUAGCAAGUGGCAAACAUAUUUUAAAGAUAACGAAGUCUUGUUGCAAAUAGAUAAAGAUGUUAGGAGAUUAUGUCCAGACAUAUCGUUCUUCCAACAAGGUACGGAUUAUCCUUGUCAAGAUAUAGUUAACAACAGCGGACAAAAGCGCUUACAUCAUAGAGUACAGCAUACCGUUCUUAGAAGUGCCAAUGUUGAAAGAAAAGGUCUUGGAGUAACUAAGCAGAUAGCAGUAUCAGUUAGGAAAGCUGCAGAAGACUAUGCACCAUUAGCCGAAGGUGGUGAGGCUCAUUGGGAAGUCUUGGAGAGAAUAUUGUUCCUAUAUGCGAAAUUAAAUCCUGGUCAAGGAUAUGUACAGGGUAUGAACGAGAUUGUUGGUCCUAUUUAUCAUACAUUUGCUUGUGAUCCAGAUCAAAAAUGGCGUGAACAUGCCGAGGCUGAUACAUUUUUCUGUUUCACCAAUUUAAUGGGAGAAAUACGUGAUUUUUUCAUUAAAUCUUUAGACGAAGCAGAAUUUGGUAUCAAUUCGAUGAUGAAUAAAUUGACUUUGCAAGUUAAGGACAAUGAUCCUGAUAUUUGGGUACGAUUGCAUCAACAAGAGUUAUGUCCUCAGUAUUACAGCUUUAGAUGGCUCACCUUACUUCUUUCGCAAGAAUUUCCAUUACCCGAUGUAAUGAGAAUUUGGGAUUCCUUGUUUGCUGACGAGAGUAGAUUCAGUUUUUUGAUACACAUUUGUUGUGCCAUGAUUCUAUUAUUGCGGGACCAACUUUUGACUGGUGAUUUUGCAACGAAUGUAAAGCUCUUGCAAAAUUUUCCAUCGAUGGAUAUUCAAAUUGUGCUUUCCAAAGCAGCUGCACUGGCAGGCAAGACCUUAAAUACUCCUUAACGAAUGAUCAUCUUAAUGCCCUCGUGAAUACGUGACUAGUUUCUGGUAAAGCAACGAGACGGCAUUUAGCGAUUAAUCGUUACGUCUCUGUCCAUGGAAAUCAUCUAACGAGAUAAGAAUAACGAUACAGCAACGUUGUUUUAAAAUAAUCUAAAAGAAAAGAAACGUAUAACUGUAUAUCGAUACGUUAUCAAUGGUCUGAUCUUGUAACAUUUUUCUAACGAUUAGACUACAAUAGGAUAUUGUCACGUACGCGUGCAAUAAGUACGUAAUGCGUUUCAUCGGAAUAUCAUAUUUUGUACGUCUUAUUUUUCUAAUGAUCUGCGGCCAUUCGUUCUACGUUUAUAAAAUAAACAAUGUUAUAUUUGCA